rnacentral:rRNA from 1 species
AAUAAGCGGAGGAAAAGAAACUAACAAGGAUUCCCCUAGUAACUGCGAGUGAAGCGGGAAAAGCUCAAAUUUAAAAUCUGGUGGUCUUUGGCCAUCCGAGUUGUAAUUUAGAGAAGCGUCUUCCGCGCUGGACCGUGCACAAGUCUCCUGGAAUGGAGCGUCGUAGAGGGUGAGAAUCCCGUCUUUGGCACGGACGCACCAGUGCUUCUGUGAUGCGCUCUCGAAGAGUCGAGUUGUUUGGGAAUGCAGCUCAAAAUGGGUGGUGAACUCCAUCUAAAGCUAAAUAUUGGCGAGAGACCGAUAGCGAACAAGUACCGUGAGGGAAAGAUGAAAAGCACUUUGGAAAGAGAGUGAAACAGUACGUGAAAUUGUUGAAAGGGAAACGCUUGAAGUCAGUCGCGUCGCCCGAGACUCAGCCUUGCCUUGGCUUGGUGUACUUCUCGGCCGACGGGUCAGCAUCAAUUUUGCCCCUUGGAUAAUGGCGAGGGAAAUGUGACACCUUWACGGGUGUGUUAUAGUCUUUUGUCGCAUGCAAGGGUUGGGAUUGAGGAACUCAGCACGCGCCCUCGGGCGUCGGGGUUCGCCCACGAUACGUGCUUAGGAUGUUGGCGUAAUGGCUUUAAACGACCCGUCUUGAAACA